GUUUCGUCGAAUAUUAUUGGAACCGAUAUAUUGCUCGUUGUUUACUAGUACCCUUACCGCAGUGGUGGCGAAACGCUUGGGCGUCAGCUUCCACUACGGGAGGCACCGGGUUCGAUCCCCAGUGCCGGCCGGCCACCCACCGGUUUCCAAUGGGUACAGGCGGGCUUCGUGGUGGUGUUACAGUGCCGCAGUUGCGAGGCUUACAACGCUUGGAGGACUCCCAACCCGCUGCACGGGACCAGUGGCCACUUCCCGUGCAGCGAACCGGGGGUCCUUUUUUUUAA
rnacentral:lncRNA from 1 species